rnacentral:sRNA from 1 species
UUCAGCAGCUUCUUCUGCCUAUUCUCCAUAUCAUCAACAUGCUCAGUCAU